GUACAGCGUUAGCGAUUGCAGUAAUUGUUUAAGCUCUUUUUUGUUCUUAAAACAAAAAAAGCGAGUACGGAAAGCGCGACCUGAA
rnacentral:sRNA from 1 species